AGAACACCACCAUGACCACCUCCAAGGUGACUAUAGACGUCCUGUGAGCCAACACAAUGUCUUCUUCAUUCCUAUGUUCCUCAGACACAGCACAGAGCCACACGAACGGAAGCAUAAAAACAACUUACAAUUCUCAAUUUAGAAGAUCUUACUUUAAUGGGAGCUCAUAUUUAUACUCCUCCCAAGACACACACACAAUAGUCUCUGUACAUACCGUUAAAUUUAGUCCUUUUUUCUUUUUCAAAAAGGAAGCAUCUGGAAUGCUUCAAUAACGAAAAAAGUACAUGGUAAGUGGAUGGUGACUGAAAUUUUGAGAUAAGGGCAUACCGUUAAAUUUAGAAAUCAGAUGAAACUUUCCUUCAGAAAAGAUCUGAAUAAUAAUAUACUCUAUUAAAGGAAUGAUUUGAUGUUUUUAAAAAUAAUCCAGGGAAACAGAAACUUCUAAAAAUUUCACAGCAGCCUAAGACUUGAAAAAAAUAAUAAAGUGCUAAGGCUGAUAUGUCUGAAGCCAUCAUAUCUAUAGCUCCAUGUUACAAUGGUAAAUGUGCCACAGAAACAAAUUUGUCUUGGGAAUUUUCACAGCAAAAAAUAUCACAGUCUGGUGACAGUGAAAUGGGAAAGGUUCCCUUGUCCCCCUGGCAGGGCGUGCGAUGGGGGAGUGGCUUGCUUCUUCAGUGCCAGGCUGCUCAAACCUCUAGGGAAGCAUACAUACGGGCAGGUCAUGGGGCUUCCACCCCACAGCAGUGUCUAGGAGUGAAUGUUUGCAGCUGAAGCCCCAGUGGGCGUGUGUUACAGGGUGCUCUUUUAGUUGGCCAUCUAUAGGCAGCUUGUGUUAACCAGCUCAAUUAGAACCCCUUCCUUAUCACAAGGACAGAGGGAUUCUGUAUCCCGGAGUUUCUUGCCUUGGUUUACCAGAAGAAUUGGAUCACACAUAGGCUUGGAGAAUGAGUGCAAAGUUUUAUUGAGUGGAAGUAGCUCUCAGCCUGAUGGGGAGCCAGAAGGGAGGGGAUCUUCACCUGGAGUUGGGCCACUCGGCAGCCCCAGCUCUCCUGGCCAAACUCUGCCUCUUCCAGCACCUUGAUGGCCUGGCAGAGUGCCUGUGUUGGUUGGUCAGUGUGCUCUUCUGUCUAUGUGCUCCCCUCAACAUCCUCUCAAUGUCCAGCCGCUUGUCUUCUUCCGCCAAUGUGUCCCUCUCACAGUCCAGCAGCUUCUGUCUGCCUUGCUAGGGUCUCAGGUUUUUAUAGGCACAGGAGGGGGGCUUGGCGGGUCAGG
rnacentral:lncRNA from 1 species